UCAAUUUCGGCUAGACAGGAGACAAAAAAAGUAGGGAGUGGAAGAUGAGAAACGUUGCACUCGUUCCCGAUGUAUCGACUUCUUCCGUGGACUAUUUUUUUCUGAUCCAGCCCACUGCCAGCGAAUAUGCGGGAAGAUUUAAGUGGCGCGUGCGCACUCACAGAUCCGGCUGAACCCGUCGGCAACGGCGCGCAUGCGCAGCAAUAAUGCUGCUCUUCCGGCUCUCACUCUUCCUUUUCCCAAUCUGCUCGCGACCAUUCCCCCACACCUCUCCGCAGGUCUUUGCUGUUAUACCCCCUUUAGAAUUGUAUCCUUUAUUUUCUGUAGGUUCUCUUCCAUUCAUAUCCAAAUGAACGCUUUGCUUAAUUUGCCAAGUGUCUAAAUGCACUGCAGAAAUUCACCAUGGCUUCUUCGACAGCAUCUUCUAAACGCACAACCGUUACCAUCUAGAAGGAGAAUUGCAUUCCCUGCAAGUUCCCCUUCAAGACUCUCAUCAUCUGUUUUGGAAAUGUAUUGGCUAUCCUUCAAAGACUGGUGCAGACACGACAGAUUAAACAGUUUCUUUUUCCUGUGCUGUUUAAAAAAAACUCCGAUUCUGUGGCUGGGUAAAAGUCCUCGAACUCCCCAACAUCAUUGUGGGUCUGCCUACACCAAAUGGACUGCAGCAGUUGAAGAAGGCAGCUCACCAUUGGGGUACUCAGCCAGUGAAGCCCACGACACGAGGAAGUACAUUAAUUUGUCAAUACUUUGAGGAAUAUCUAACCUGGAAGAUCACAUCUCCAACGAUGGAACACAAGCACAAUGCUGCAUGCAAUAUGUACAUGUUAGAGUCUGUUGGAUAUUGGGAUCCCUUAAAAUCUGAUGUUUUUAAGCAUUUACUGUGUAGAAUGAAAUUUCAUUUAACAGCUUUUACAACAGUAAUUAACUUUCCAAAAUUCUCACAUGGGUAAGCCAAAGGGAAGAAUUAUGAGAAACACAGAAGUCAUGAAGCACAUUGAACUGGCAUCAACAAUUUAUCUGGUGCCAAAUGUACCCUAACAUCAAUAUAUUGUUUUUGAAAAUGAGACGGUGUUGUUCUUAGAAGGAAUGAAAACUAACCAUCAAAUGGAGGUGGGCAAGGGGUCUGCAGUCAUCUGAUGUCAUUGGUAGCUAUCAAAUAGCCAUUCGCCAGGAGUGGUCAGACAAGUGUUUGAAUGAAAGACCCCAUAACAAGGUAUAUUAACAAGGACAGGGGGGGAGGAAGAGGCAAGAAGAUCCGAGGAAAUGAGUCACUCUAUCUGCUUGGGGGAAAGCCAGGAGGUCCCCUUCAUCAGGGAAGAACAAAGACUGUUGGUACCGAGACCACCAAAGACUACCAGAGUCCACCACAAAAGGGCAUAGAACCACUGGGACAUGGGGGUGCAUUGCUAUUCCACUCCAUUCUGCAGAAUGGUUAUAGGAUAAAUAUUCUCAUCUGUCAUAGGUUGUAUAUUUCUUUCCUGUGCCUAAUUAACUAACGUACCAUAUCUAAACUGCUGUUUCUCAAUAAACUACCAGAAAAUUGCUAUAAAUCAUCAAAUGCCUAUAUUAAGCAACUCUGAUCAUGAACCCCUAAAAUCAACAAGUCUACUUCUCUCUUAUGGGGGUGUAUAAAAUGUCUAUAAUCGUGAGUGACUUCACUUUUGAACAGACCUCAAAUGGGUAAUUUUUUUAAAACACAACCAGCAAACACACACCUAUCCUGCAAGUAAACCUUAACUAUAAAUCCAAGAUAAACUUUGCUGUAGCAUUUGCAAUAACACAGUACAAGACUGUUAUGAAAGAUGUACUAGUUGGUUGAUGUAUGUGUACAGUGUAUGACAACUACCAAUUUACACACAAAAUGAAUCUCAUUCUUGCUUUUCUCUUAAUUGCAUAAUUGUACCUCAGCGUUUUGUAAAACAUGAUUUUCUGUAUUUUGAACAAGUGAUCAAGUGAUCAAGUGAUCAAGUGAUCACUUCAAUAACUUUGCUUGUGAUGUUGAAACACAGGGGUGCUGUCUUGCAUUGUAGGACAGAGUAAUGGGUGCUGUCUUGCAUUGUAGGACAGAGUAAUGAGUCCUGUGUAAAUCUUUACAACUAUUAGAGCACAUUUGCAAGUGUAUUAAGCCCUAUUAGUUGGGGAUCUGAUUAAACAUGACUACAAGAUUGAAAUCUGAAAUACUGUGGAUUCUUCAAACAGAUCCCUGUUGAAGAGACACAAAAAUGCUGCUAGGGGCUGGAGGCACAUAUGUUUCCACUGAAAGCUGGUGGUGUUACUUGUUUGAAAUUUCUCCUUCUCUGCAGGGCAAUGUUCUUCUUCAUGCACAAUUGAAUUGAAGAACUGUUUAGCACCAUAAAGUGGGCCUAAUUCAGCCUGUGGAUCAGGCAUUAUGAACCUGUGACACAUGAAAAUGGCUGUAUGGAUUAAGUUGCAAAAGUGUGCCUCAACAAGUGUGUUUGGGCAAGGAAGUGUAAGAAGCUGACAAUCUGUCUAAACGUUACCAGGGAAUUUGUUUCGUGACUUUACAAGUAAAAUAUAAUCGGCACUGAAAUACCAA